CCUACUGGUGGCAGCAGUGGGGAAUAUUGCACAAUGGGGGAAACCCUGAUGCAGCAACGCCGCGUGAAGGAAGACGGUUUUCGGAUUGUAAACUUCUGUUCUUAGUGAAGAAUAAUGACGGUAGCUAAGGAGCAAGCCACGACUAACUACGUGCCAGCAGCCGCGGUAAUAUGUAGGGAGCAAGCGUUAUCCGGAUUUAUUGGGUGUAAAGGGUGCGUAGACGGAAAAGCAAGUUAGUUGUGAAAUCCCUCGGCUUAACUGAGGAACUGCAACUAAAACUACUUCCCUUGAGUACUGGAGAGGAAAGUGGAAUUCCUAGUGUAGCGGUGAAAUGCGUAGAUAUUAGGAGGAACACCAGUGGCGAAGGCGACUUUCUGGACAGUAACUGACGUUGAGGCACGAAAGUGUGGGGAGCAAACAGGAUUAGAUACCCGAGUAGUC
rnacentral:rRNA from 1 species